rnacentral:rRNA from 1 species
GGGUUGUGAGGUUAAGCGAAUAAGCGUACACGGUGGAUGCCUAGGCAAUCAGAGGCGAUGAAGGACGUGCUAAUCUGCGAAAAGCGUCGGUAAGGUGAUAUGAACCGUUAUACCCGACGAUAUCCGAAUGGGGAAACCCAGUAUCCAAUGGAUACUAUCAUUAACUGAAUCCAUAGGUUAAUGAGGCGAACCGGGAGAACUGAAACAUCUCAGUACCCCGAGGAAAAGAAAUCAACCGAGAUUCCCCUAGUAGCGGCGAGCGAACGGGGAGCAGCCCAGAGUCUUAAUCAAUAGCAGUGUCAGGAGAACGGUCUGGAAAGUCCGGCAGUAAAGGGUGAUAGCCCCGUAUCUGAAGAUGCUGUUAUUGUGAACUCGACGAGUAGGGCGGGACACGUGUUAUCCUGUCUGAAUAUGGGGGGACCAUCCUCCAAGGCUAAAUACUCCUGAUUGACCGAUAGUGAACCAGUACCGUGAGGGAAAGGCGAAAAGAACCCCGGCGAGGGGAGUGAAAAAGAACCUGAAACCGUGUACGUACAAGCAGUAGGAGCCCCAUCACUCAAGUGCCUCGCACUGAGUGAUGCAAUAACAUCACCGAAAAUAGCGCCGAAUUUGCUAACAAGGUUGGUCGAUUUUUUCAAGCCGUCGCGCAGUGUACCUAGAAGUACACGAGCAACGGAAGUUAAAAAAUCGGGCAAGAUUGAACGCAAAGGCAAGCGGGACAUUUGAGGAUGGGGUGACUGCGUACCUUUUGUAUAAUGGGUCAGCGACUUAUAUUCUGUAGCAAGGUUAACCGUAUAGGGGAGCC